GCGCGCUCGCCGCUCCCGGGUGUAACCGCGCCCGCCCCCACGGGAAAAUGGGCACACUCGAGGGCAGUAAGCCCCGGAGCACCGAGAACCCCCUCCCAGCCAUCAGGAAGAAAAGGGAGAUAGGCAGGCAGAAAAGGGGCGAUGGGGAGAUGCAAGGGGCGCUGGAAUGUCCCAGGGAGUGAGGGCAGGAAUGGGGACUGUGUGACCGCGGCAAGCUGGAUCCUGUCGGCGCAGAGGUGCGCUCAGUUGGUGGGUGUCUCAGCCACCAGCGAAGCCUCCCAGCUAUUACCCAGCCAUGUUGGCGGGAAAAGUGUAAGAAACGUUGUGUUUGCUUCUGAGUGAGGCUUGCUAAGCCCUACCAGAGAAGCCAGACGGGCAGGGUGGCCUUCAGCUGAGUACAGGGGUGAGGGGACGAAUGGGCAGAGGAAGGGGUCCUGGGUUAAGAGGACGUCUGGUUCUGUGGGGUUUUGGAAUCUCUUGGGGCUCUCCUCAGACAGAGGAGAUAGAAGGUGCGUGUGGGAGGAAAAUGCAGAGUAAGGGACACCCAGAUCCAGGGAGGCUCGGCGCUGUCUCCCUGCCAGCACCUAACCCCCUCCCUGGUGCAUUCUCUUGUUUCCUCAGCAGUAAUGGGGGAGCCUGACUUCGCUGAAAGGGCCCCUCCUCCAGUUGCAUCUUUGUCAGCUCUAUCUGCUUCCUCCCAGUGUUAAGGCCCCCUCCCUCCCAAGCCAUCGGAGCAUGAGGAAGCCUUGGUUCCACACAGCUGGGCUUCUUGCUCACAGGCUAACGCAGAUGCCCUUUGCCCUUGUGAAGCUGGUGGGAAGUUGCAGAAGCUGAAACGGAGCCUGUGGCUGGGCACCAGCCCCUGGAAUAGAGGAACUUUCACCGAGAGCAAGCUGCGACGUUGGGGCUGCCUACAGAGGGAACAAGGAAUUGAGACCUCUCCCUGAUGCCCCCAAGAAACUGAAUUCUGCCAACCACCUCAUGAGCUUGCAAGCAGAUUCCUCCCCAGUCAAGCCUCAGAUGAGACCUCAGCCCUAGCCAACACCUUGAUGGCAGCCCUGCAGAAGUCCCAGUCCAGGAUGUCCAGACUUCUGUGAGAAAUUGUGAUAUAAUAAAUGUGUACUGCUUUAAGCGG